rnacentral:lncRNA from 1 species
GAAAGGGGUUGGGGACAACCUUGGGCAGGGGUGGGGAAGGUGCUGCUCUUGCCCACUGUCCUUGGCUGCCCUACUAGGAGAAGGGAUACUGCUGAGUGGCAGUGGCAAGUGGAGCCGCCACCGUCGGAUGCUGACGCCCGCCUUCCAUUUCAACAUCCUGAAACCCUAUAUAAAGAUCUUCAACAGGAGUGUGAACAUCAUGCACGUUGUUCCCUGCAAACACAACUCUGAAAAAUGGCUGAAGUAAGAACAUCAUGGCCUUGCAUUCUUGGCAUGCCCAGCAAGGAUGCUCAGGGCUGAUGAAGAAGUGCCUCUCCCAACACAGGGAUAUUUUUGAAAUGACUUUGUAACAAUGGAGAAGAGUGAAGAGAACAUUUACUGAGCACUCACCAUAGGCCUAAAACAAUGUCAUGUCCCAGUUCCAUGACAUAUGUGUCUAAUUUAAUUUUAAUAACCCUGUGAGUUAUGGUUAUUUUUGCCCGAUUGCAGAUGAUGAAACUGAGGGCCAGAGAGGUUAGCGAGCUGGAAACAGUUCAAC